AUUUAUAUAGUUUAAAUAAAACAUUACAUUUUCAUUGUAAAAAUAAGAUUCUUUUUUUAUAAAUG
rnacentral:tRNA from 1 species